CAAAUUUUGGGUGAAAUGUCCCAAUUGUCGGAAGGUUAAAGUGUUCUCUGAUGUAAAAUUUAGGUCACACUCUAUAAAGCUUCUCCUUGGUCUGUGUGUGAACAGCUAGUCUGUAUCUUCACCUAUGCAUAUUUAAAAAUCAACCUUAAGAAGGCUCUUGGCCACCAUAAUCCUUCCUACACUGUAGCAAGAGCCCAGCCUCAGACUAUGCUUCCUUGUGCCUCCGACUGCAAUGCCUUCCCCCGAAUCUCCAAGGUACCAAACCGGUCAGGGGUAGCUGAGACAGCUCUACUUCUAGGAGUCCUCCCCAAGCCCUUGAAAUCACAGGCAUCUCUGCUGUCCCUGCCCUUCAUCCACAUGACUGAACAAUUAAGCACACACAUCUGUGUAGUUUUAUUUAAACUGUUCCAUGUGUGUUUACAAUUAACAACAUGAAUGGCUGCGGUAUGGAUGCAGCAGAAAGGAAUGCUGAGGGAGGACUCCAGUUAGAAUGAGCCAGUUUUCCAGGACUAGGAAUGAACUUUCCCCAGUACCAACAAGGCAGCCUCCAGGGCAAGAAAUGGUAACAGAAUCCAUCCUGUUGACAGUCAAGAUGGAAUUACAGAUAAUUCUCACCUCUUUUUUGACUCUCAGGUGGAAACCCCCUUCCCAUGGGGUGAAGCGCAGUCUGCUCCAGAGCCCCACUGUUGGGGUCGGGGAUGUCACAGAAAUUAACAGGGCAGCCAAUUCCCAUCCAGAGGGGGCCCGGGAUGACCCCGAACCCUCUAGCUCAGCCCCAAGCUCGGGCCAGGGAGUGAAGCCCUUGUCCCCAAGCAACAGAGUGAGGGUCUGUCUCUAACCCGGUGGGCUCCAGUGAAAGGAAAAUGGCCUGGAGGUGCCCACAGGAGGGCGCCCUAGUUCUGAGACAGGUCUACGGCUCCCAGACUGCGUCCCCAUGAGUAACAGAGGGACACGCAGAGGGGCAUACUGAGUGCCUAUAGGGGACUCACGGACUGCAGAUGCACGCUGCGGAACCAGAAGCCGGUCAGGUAAUGAGCUGCAGAGGUGUGGGGAAGACCUGGGUGUCUCCCUGGGUGCCAACCAGCCUAACCAGCCGGGGCCACCAAACAGAAGUGCUUCUGACAUUAACGCGACACACAGAAGGUGUGUAGGGUGGGUAGUGGAAGUGACCCCAGAGGCCUCUGGGGAUUGUAGUUUUGGAACUAGAGAGGCGGGCAAGCAGUUGGCUUCGCCCACACGGUGUGCCUCUCACAUCUGCACAGUGCACACAACCAAGCUUAGGAGCCGACUGUUAAGAUGCCCAAGUGACACGGACAAGUUUCUCCUCUGCAACCCAAUGAGAUCUGCUGACCACGAGAGCAUCGCGGGACCGCCAAAGGAUUCUGGAAAAUGUGGUCCCGGGUGGCCAGUGUGCGCUGACCUUCACCUGAAGGUGAGCUGAGCUCACCAUGCAAGUCUCCACCCUGGGGUGCCCUUCCCGGAGCAGAUGCCAGGUUGGGGCAGCAGUAGUUCAGGGAGAAGCGAUGCCCUCCUGGAACUGCCGGUUUGGGGGCGACAUCGGCCCUGUGUCCCCUAGAGUAGGAGGGUGUACCAGGAUGGGGAACCACAAGGCUGUUUUCAGGGAGAAGAAGAUUGGCUUGGGGCAAACUCCCGGAAUGGAGAUGGGGAGAGUCUGGUCGCAUUUCCCCAGGAGUUUAGGGAUGAAGGCUGGACUUGGGUGAACAGCAAAAGAUCCCCUGGUGAUAGUGGUGGUGAAGAUCAGAGGCUUGAGCCAGAAAUUCCCGAGGUGUUUGUUUGUUUUGUUUUUUUGAGACAGAGUCUUGAUCUGUCUCCCAGGAUGUAGUGCAAUGGCAUGCUCUUGGCUCAUUGCAACCUCCGCCUCCCAGGUUCAAGCGAUUCUCCUGCCUCAGCCUCCCAAGUAGCUGAGAUUACAGGCACCUGCCACUGUGCCCACCUCAAUUUUUUUUGUUUUUUUGUAUUUUUAGUAGAGACGGUGUUUCACCACAUUGCCCAGCCUGGUCUCGAACUCCUGACCUCAAGUGAUCCACCUGCCUCAGCCUCCCAAAGUGCUGGGAUUACAGGCAUGAGCCCCCACACCCAGCUCAUUUUUAUCUUUUAACUUAAAGGUUUUUAUUUUUCUCUCUUUUUACUCUUUCUUACAGGUACGGCUUGAAGGAAACUUCUGGAGGGUGGGGUGGUGUUGAAGAGAAGGCACAGUUGUAACCAUUUUGUUCAACAUGGGCGUUUUCUUUGUGCAUUGAUUUGCAUUUUUAAAGGUAUUCCAUUAAAAAUAUGUUUAUCU
rnacentral:lncRNA from 1 species